rnacentral:misc_RNA from 1 species
CAAAAAUGGCUGCGAACAUCCUGAAACGGUUUUUAACGCAAACGUCGAUUAAUUACAGACCUUUUUUGAAUACCUGUGUUAGACACAAUUCUACAAGGUUGGCAGAAGUUGGUGUUCUGGAAACUCCAAAAGAUCAUGGAAACUCUUAUGAAACUGGACAGCUGUUCUUGCACAAGAUAUUUGGUUACCGAGGAAUAGCACUGUUUCCGUGGCUGGCUCGAGUGUAUGAUCGUGAUACGGCAACCAAGACCGAGGACAGAAAUCUUGAUGACAGUUCGGCACAAGUUGGGAAGGAAGUGAAGGGAAAGAAUCACCUUUAUUACCAAGUUCUAAUUGAUGCCAGAGACUGUCCACAUAUUAGAGCCCAGACCGAAGCAGUCACAUUUCUAGGUAACCAAGAGAACAGUCGAGCUCUCUAUGCUAUUCCUGGUCUUGACUACGUUGCCCAUGAAGAUAUUCUUCCGUACACCAGCGAAGAAGCUACUCCCCUCCAACACGAACUCUUCGACAAAUUCCUCAUACACGAUCCUGAAAACAAUCCUCCUUUCUUGGCUCGUGAGACAUUAAGGGCAUGGCAGGAGAAGAAUCACCCCUGGUUACAGCUGUCUGAUGUGCAUCGAGAAACAACAGAGAACAUUCGAGUGACAGUUAUUCCAUUUUACAUGGGGUGCAGGGAAUCACAGCAAACUCAUGUAUACUGGUGGCGGUACUGCGUGCGGCUGGAGAACCUGGGAGAUGACACUGUACAGCUACGAGAACGACACUGGAGAAUAUUCAGUCUGUCAGGAACGCUGGAGACCGUCCGUGGUCGAGGGGUGGUUGGACAGGAACCUGUUUUGUCAAAAGACCAGCCAGCAUUUCAGUAUAGCAGCCAUGUAUCUCUACAAGCCCCCAGUGGACAUAUGUGGGGCACUUACAAAAUGGAGAGAAGAGAUGGAACAUCGUUUGACUGUAAAAUACCACCAUUCUCGUUAGAAAGUAAAUCCGAAGACGACUCCAGUCCACACACCUUUCUGAGCAGUUAACAUUUAGUAACUUACUAGCCUCUAACGAAUGAGGAAUUCAUUCUUUUUAAAUUGUGUCUGUACAAUUGUAAAUAUAGAGGUGUAUGUACAGUGUACUGACGGUGUGUAAUUUAUCAAAGACGUUUAUGCUGUGCACGUGUGGUUGAGUGUGUGUACACGUGAGUGGAUGGAUGUGUAUCUGUCAGUCUUGUUUGAAAUUGAAUCUUAAUGCCACUCUCCAUCAGUCUCUAUUAGAAGAUUUGAAAUGGGACACAUGCUUAUAAAACUUUGCAGGCUAAACUCAGAUCUAAAAUGAUGUUACACAUACGCUGUUUGUAGACACUGCUAUGAUGUUAAAAGUAUUGAUAUGUUAUUAAAGACUUUAGUCUAGUAGGCAUGUUUUUUCAGGAAUUUAAUACGGUGGAGUCUAGACUGGCUAGAAAAAGGUUGGGGGGGGGGGGGGUCAAGUCAUGCUCCCCAAAAAAUAUUGGGGAGAAAAUUUGCUUCAGCUGGGAUUGGGGGGGUGUGUGUGUGUGUGUGACCCAUGAAAGCAACCCCUUUACACAUGCCUGUCUAGACAUAAAAGUUUUAUAAACAGUGCACAUGGUGCUAGUGUCAUAUGUUGUCCAGCUGACCUUUCUUCAUGAGCAGUCAUUCCUUUUUGUUCCAUUUUUUGUUUUGUUAAUCUACACUGGCACAGUUAUGUCAGCAGUGGUUCUGAUUGGUCAAAUGGAAGGUCAUUUGGACACACAAUAUAAGUCUGGGUUUAGUUAGAUAUGCUAAUAGAGACUAGACUGGUUUAUCUGCAUUUGCAGGUGUCUGUGGGUGAUGUAAUCGCUUUAUUCAGUACUUAUACAAAUUUAGUCAGGACUGGGUGCUCAAGCUUAGGGUCAAGAUCUCACAAGGGUGAAUGUAGGAUUUUCAAAGGAUUGGGGUAGAUGUGAAUUCUAGGAACCUCUUUACUCAAUGAGAUCAUUCAGGUCAGCAGAACACUAUUUUACCCUCAUAGAUUAGAGCAUCUUUACAUGAGAUACAAAAACUGGUAUGUUUAAAUGCAAUAUUGUAAAUGAAUUUAAUCUUUCUAUGUAAGUUCAGAAUGUGUAAUCUGAAAGAAAAAAAAGAAUUUGUUAUCUCAGGUGGUGGACAGACACCAUACCUAUCUUAGAACUGCUCCGUAACUUGUGUUUUUCAGCCAGAUUUACAGGUCAUAAGUGGACUCCAGAGCAACCCCUCUUCCCAGUCUCUUCCCAGUCUCUUUCCAGGAAAUUACAACCAGUCAUAGGAGAAACUGAUUUCUAAGUUUGAACUUUCAGUCCAGGGGCCUAAUUCACUAAACUCUCGAACUUUACAAUCUUGCAGUGCAAUGCUAAAAUACUUGCAAUGAGCAUGCUUUGUUGUCUAACAGAGCCUAAAAGACUUUUGAUUCUUAGUGGUUUAUAUGCAACAAUCAUAGAAAUUGUUAUCCCAUGGAGACAAACAUUUGUAAUGUUACAUAUGAUAAAAAAUAAAUGUCAUUUGUCAGGAUUCAAGGGAUGUUAACAAAGUUCUGUUUAAUCUAUCACAACUUUCGUAAAUUUCCCAAAAUUAAUAAUAAUUAAAAUAUGCUGACUCUGAAUUCCAGUGUGAUCUUGCUGCUGUCUACUCCAGCUUUUGCCAGUGAAUUCAAGGACUGUUGAGUAUGAAUUUUGAGCUCUUUUCGUUGGAGUUAUCUCCCUUCGUAGCCAGUUCAAUGUACAGUAUAGCUGGUUGUCCUGGACAACCCAGAUAGCUGAGGUGUGUGCCCAGGAUAGCAUGCUUGAACCUUAAUUGGAUUAUAAGCACGAAAAUAAGUUGAAAUGACAAAAUGGUUAUUAAACUUGUGUUUUGAAUGACACCUAGCCGCAGGCCCGGAGGAGCAACAUUUGACACAAUUUAUAAUGUAGGGAGAGCAAAGUCUAGUCGGAGGGUGGGCAUAAGCCAGAUUUUUUUCUUUAUAUAGAGUAGAACAAAAAAUGUACAUUUUCGUCACGUGGGGGACACAGGCUCUCCUGCCCUUCGUUCCUAUGGGUUAGAGCAGACCCUUGUCCAUUUGGUGUCUUUUGUUGUGAUUUUGAGAAUUUCCACUGGAUUUUGAAAUCAGUGGUUUAUCAUAAAUCGAUAGAUCAGUGCUCCGAGAUGGGGACAUCAUCCCUGUCAAUGUGUAGAUUUAUUCCAGUGUUUAAGAAUAUGGCUUAAAUAUUUGUUUAUUCAUAUGACAGCGUGUUACAGCUAUUGGACUAACAGAUAUGAAAGUCAUUUCAUUUAACCUGUCUCAUGUGUGCAAGGAAAGGAAUGUUUGUUUAAGAAUAUGUGCAUACACGUUAUUCCCAGGACUGUAGUUUGAGUGGUUGGGAGGAGGGGUAAUCAGAAGUAUCAAGUCAUUGUAAGAUGGGAGCACUUCUCUAGCACCUAUGCAUAUAUAUACAUAUAUACUGAAUAACAUUUAAAAAAAACCACAUUAAUAUUAAUUUAGUUUUCUUUAAUUGAUUUAACUUUAUUCAGUUUGAAGCCCAUUAGUUUUUGUAUCUUUUAAAAUGAUCAAUUUCCUAAGAAUGUUUGUCAGUCUUUUUACCUGAUAAAUUUUUAUAAUGAAAGAAAAAUAUGUUCAAACUUAAUCACGUUUCUUUUACUCAGUAUACUUGCUGUAGGGGAAAAAUGCCUCCCACGAGUAACGGAGUUAUGCCUCUUUUAAUCCUCAUAUAUUUGGUGUUAUUAGUGUUAUACAUUUGGUAAUUGUAAUAUUAUCUAGAGAAUGAGAAACUACCUGCUACCACAUAUGUUACACUUUUAAUCCUCGGAUAUUGGGUGUUAAACGUGUGGUAAUUGUAACAGAUUAUCUAGAGCAUGAGAAACUAACUGCUACCACAGGUUACACUUUUAAUCCUAGGAUAUUGGGUGUUAAACGUGUGGUAAUUGUAACACAUGAUCUAGAGAAUGAGAAACUACCUGCUACCACAUAUGUUACAUUUUUAAUCCUCGGAUAUUGGGUGUUAAACAUGUGGUAAUUGUAACACAUGAUCUAGAGAAUGAGAAACUACCUGCUACCACAUAUGUUACACUUUUAAUCCUCGGAUAUUGGGUGUUAAACGUGUGGUAAUUGUAACAGAUUAUCUCGAGAAUGAGAAACUUAACUGUUAACUGCUAACAUGUUACACUUUUUAAUUAGUUUCAAAUGAAUUGUGAAUGCACUUGAAUAUAGUACAUGCUAUGGUUUUUUUAAUUAAUCAGUUGUGGAGUGAUUGUAAUUUCUUACAUCUACUGUUGUUGGUUAGAGGAAUAAACAAUUUUAUAUCUCGCCUCAUGUUUGUUUGCUAUGUCACUAACAAAUGUAGGCUUCUGAAAGCUGCAGUCCUGCAUCAUCGCAUGACAUCAUUUACUAAUGCAAGAUACAGUGAAACCCUCAAAACCAGACCCUCGGAAUACAGGGGUGGGACAUAGCCCAGUGGUAAAGUGUUCGCCUGAUGUGCAGCUGGUUUAGGAUCCAUCUCUGUUGGGUCGGUGGACCCAUUGGGUUAUUUCUCGUCCCAGCCAGUGCACCACGACUCGUAUAUCAAAGGUCAUUGUAUGUGUUAUCCUAUCUGUGGGAUGGUGCAUAUAAAAGAUCCCUUGCUACUAAUGGAAAAAUGUAGCGAGUUUCCUUUCUAAGACUAUGUCAGAAUUACCAAUUAUUUGACAUCCAAUAUCCGAUGAUUAACCAAUCAAUAUGCUCUAGUGGUAUCAUUAACCAAAACAAAACUUCUCUGAAAACCAGAAUCCAUUUAAAACUGCGUUUUUCAGUCUUAUUAUUAAAUAUCGGUAUAGAACAUGCUCUUACGGCUUUCUCAACCAGAUACAGGUACAUGUACCUCUUAAAACCAGAUGUUUUACAUGGUCCCAUGGGUGUUCCGUUUUAGAGUGGUUUCACUGUACAAACUUGGCUUGAUAAACGUGUGUUAUCGCUAUCAACAGUUAUCAUGAGCUGCCCUCAUGUAGCCUGUUGCCAUGCUUUCUUAAUAUUUCUAACGUAAAUGUUAUAAUGGAGAAUACAUUGGUGAGUAUAUCUAUACAGUAUCGAAGAAGAGCAUGCUGCAGUUAAACAAUUAAUGGUGACAAUCUGUUGUAUAUAGAUAUGAAAUAAAGCUUUACAGAAAUAAUAAAUUAUGAAUGGGGUUUUUUAAACACUGGUUUCAAAGUAAAGUUUAAUGACCACAUAUAUGUUGGUUUCUGUUAUUCUCAUCAGGUUUGCCUUCUUUUGAUAAUGACAAUUAUUUAUGUUUCCAUUGAUGUCUAUUUUUUUUGCACCCAUGGGUGGUGCUGUGCCAUCUAUCAUUUUAUUCCAAUUACUAUGUUUUGUAUUUUCUGUGUCGACAGAAAUAGCAAUUAAGAACUUUGCUUUAAUAAGAGAUGAGACUUGCACUUCCUGUGGAUAAUGAAAACUGAUUGAUUUACAACAUGGUGGUUUUUUCAUCCUGAAUACAAUUUCUACAAGUGCCUUUAAUUAUAAAUGUUGGUACAAUAGGUUGGUUUUUUGUUAGUUUUUCCUUUCAUAUAUGUGCACCCAAAGUUUUUCUUUUCUUUCUGUUUUUUUCUUUCAAAGCUGACUGGGUUUUUAUUGUUUGCCAGAAGACAUUUUUUGGCUUUUUUAUGUAAGUUAAACUCUAUCAGUGUGGGUUUCAUUGAUUUUCCAUGCAUAAAGUAUUAUCAGAGAGAGAUAGAUAGCUAGGUAGGUAGCUAGCUAGGUACAUAGGUACCGGUAGGUAGAUAUAUAGAUUGAUGGAUCGAUAGAUGGAUCGAUCGAUCGAUCGAUGGAUGGAUAGAUAGAGAUCGAUCAAUACCUGCCUAUAUAGACAAAUACAUUAGAUAGGUAGGUAGGUAUUCUCCCUACCCUAUUUAACAGAACACACCACUCAACUUUGUUCUUUAAAAUGGCAAUUUUGAUACUUGGCCUAGUAUAAGACAGUGAGAGAUUAAAUCACUCCUCCACACACUGAAAGCUUCUGAUGAGCAGAAUGGGUAUUCUUUAUAACUUACUCACACACAUGGUAGCAUAGAUUCAUCAGUCAUGGAAUGGAAAAUAACUCAAUAAAAACCCUGAAAUGGUUUGAUCCAGUGACCCUUUGCAGCUUAAUGUGAAGUUGUAUCACUGAGUUAUAUCCAUCUUAACCAUGUUAAGAAACCAGUACUGCCAUACAUAUUUUAACUUGACCAUGAUAUUAUGAACAACUUGCUGCUUAUAAUUUUACUGUACUGUUAUAAAAUAAGUCGACUAAGUGGAUGUAUGUUUUUAACCAAUAACAUCUUUAUCAUUCAAAUGUGACUAACCACAUUACAUUUACCAUAGUAUAUUAUGUAUUUGUAAUUUGUUGAACUAAUUCAUCGAUAUAACAUCUUAAAAAAUUGUACAUUGUCAAAGUUCAAAACAUGUUAAUCAUUUCAGAAUUUGUUUGACAUGUUAUAUUCUUUUAUUAGUUCCAUGCUGGUCCAACCGGAGGGGACUGUAGGUUUUGUCUCCGACCUUCUAUGUCUGUCUGUCUUACAGUGUGUCUGUCUGUCUAUCUGUGCAACUGUCUGUCCAUCUGUCCCACAUACAGUUUUCAGGACUUAUUUAUUUGCAAUGCAUGCGUCAAGAUAUUGACCUGGACUUUUGUGUAUAGUUUUAUCAUACUGUUACAGAUCAAGUCUGACUUUGAUGGCGAUUUACCCACUUUUUACAGAGUUAUGGCCCUUGACCUUGUGCGAUAUGAAAAUGUGUUGGGCCCAUUAGGGGGACAUGUAUUGCUUCAGCAGUACUCUCAGAAUACUUGUUUUAUAAAUAACAGAUAUUCUAUUUGUGUUAAAGUAUUGUCUGGACCAUAUGUUUCUUUUAGCAUGGGUGUUAUAAUUUAGUGUUAUAGUGAAGGGAUCUAGUGAAAUAAUAAUAAACAAAAUAAUAUUUCAUUCUUCCAUUAUAACCCCAGUUACCUCAGAUGUGUUGAAACGAUGUGCCUGUAUGUGUAGUUCCAUGUUUAUUGGUUGGUUGGUUUUUGCUUUUUAGUGUGGCGACGUUUGUGUGUGAGAAAGAAUUGACGCCUAUCCACCACGUUAAUACGUUUCUCAAUUGGUUGUUACAGUGUAUGUGUGUGUGUGCGCGCGCGCGCGUGUGUGUGUGUGUGCCGUUUUUACAUAGUCAGCUUUUUCACACCUGAAGAAGGUAAAUGUUUUAAUUUCUGGAAAGUUUCUAUUUAUAUUUGUACUGUAGUGUCUCAUUGUAUGUGCAUGAACAUAUAUGCAAACACACCAAAGAAAUUGAUGUUAUAAUUUAUAUUUAACAAAUGACGUAAUUGUAACUUCAAUAAGCAUAUGUGUUGACAUGUCUGCAUCGAAUAUUUACAGUGCUCUGUCACGUUUGAAAUAAAUAUAAAAUUUAA